rnacentral:rRNA from 1 species
AACGUUACCAAACUGUUGCCUCGGCGGGGUCACGCCCCGGGUGCGUAAAAGCCCCGGAACCAGGCGCCCGCCGGAGGAACCAACCAAACUCUUUCUGUAGUCCCCUCGCGGACGUAUUUCUUACAGCUCUGAGCAAAAAUUCAAAAUGAAUCAAAACUUUCAACAACGGAUCUCUUGGUUCUGGCAUCGAUGAAGAACGCAGCGAAAUGCGAUAAGUAAUGUGAAUUGCAGAAUUCAGUGAAUCAUCGAAUCUUUGAACGCACAUUGCGCCCGCCAGUAUUCUGGCGGGCAUGCCUGUCCGAGCGUCAUUUCAACCCUCGAACCCCUCCGGGGGAUCGGCGUUGGGGAUCGGGACCCCUCACCGGGUGCCGGCCCUGAAAUACAGUGGCGGUCUCGCCGCAGCCUCUCCUGCGCAGUAGUUUGCACAACUCGCACCGGGAGCGCGGCGCGUCCACGUCCGUAAAACACCCAACUUCUGAAAUGUUGACCUCGGAUCAGGUAGGAAUACCCGCUGAACUUAAGCAUAUCAAUAG